GACUGCUCCGGUGGCCUAGCAGUUAGAGCAUUUGCCUCAGAUGCAGGAGAUUGUGGGUUUGGAUCCCAGCCAAGUCA